AUUGAACGCUGGCGGCAGGCCUAACACAUGCAAGUCGAGCGGAUGAAGGGAGCUUGCUCCUGGAUUCAGCGGCGGACGGGUGAGUAAUGCCUAGGAAUCUGCCUGGUAGUGGGGGAUAACGUCCGGAAACGGGCGCUAAUACCGCAUACGUCCUGAGGGAGAAAGUGGGGGAUCUUCGGACCUCACGCUAUCAGAUGAGCCUAGGUCGGAUUAGCUAGUUGGUGGGGUAAAGGCCUACCAAGGCGACGAUCCGUAACAGGUCUGAGAGGAUGAUCAGUCACACUGGAACUGAGACACGGUCCAGACUCCUACGGGAGGCAGCAGUGGGGAAUAUUGGACAAUGGGCGAAAGCCUGAUCCAGCCAUGCCGCGUGUGUGAAGAAGGUCUUCGGAUUGUAAAGCUCUUUAAGUUGGGAGGAAGGGCAGUAAGUUAAUACCUUGCUGUUUUGACGUUACCAACAGAAUAAGCACCGGCUAACUUCGUG
rnacentral:rRNA from 1 species